GAGACUGUUUAGACACUACUUUAGAAAAGGCAUUUUUUUUGGUGUUGCUACUAGGAAAUUGUGUGUGUGUGUGUGUGUGUGUGUGUGUGUGUGUGUGUGUGUGUUUUCAGUGUCUCUAGCAGCUGAAAGUAUGCAAGAGCUAAAAUGCAGCUACAGCUGGAGCUAACUCCCAUUCAUUCAUCAUUGUCACUUCACGAAUUAGGAGCCAGCAGACCAUUUCUCUCACUUUACUUCAGCUCCUUUUCAGAACGAGUGCAGAUUCAGAGAAGAAGGUGGAGCAAGAUGGCAGAAUAAUUGUCCCUCCAAUAAGGACAUCAAGUUAACGACUACCUACACAGAAAAACAGCUUCAUAAGAACGAAAAUCAGAACUAAUUCGACUGUUGAUGCCCAUCGGACAAAUACUAUCAGGAACACAGGGAAUCACUGAGUUCAAUACAAUGUCUCACAAUUGCUGUGCUUUCCCUCUUCCAAGUGCAUAGAUUCUUUCUCGGGCUGCUGCCAGGCAAUGGGAGGUGGAUGACAUCAGCAAUUUAAGACUGUCUUUUCUACCUUCAUUAGUGCCUCUUUCGACAAUAUGCAGUUAAAACCAGAGCCUCCCUCUGACGAACUCUUCUGGCUAUUCAGCUUUUUUUGUGUCAAGUGCAUGAGUCUCCCCUCUUCUCUCUGCCCUUCAGGAGUCCUCAUCAUCUUAAUUGUGUGACAUGGACCUGUGCAGUGAAGCCAGCAAAUUGUGCUUGAGAUGGAACUUUACCUCCCAAAGCAACUGCAG
rnacentral:lncRNA from 1 species